AAGCAUGUUUUCCAAGGGCUGUGGCUGCUGUAGCCAUUGGCUCUCCAACUGCAUGCCAGAGUAACGGAGAGACUUUGACAGCCCAGGCCAGCGGUGCCUGCAGCUGCCACUCAGCUUUCCUAUAUAU